rnacentral:rRNA from 1 species
UUUUUGAAAAUAAUUUAAAGUCUAAUCUGCCCACUGAUAAAAUUAAUUAAAGGGCUGCAGUAUUUUGACUGUACAAAGGUAGCAUAAUCAUUAGUCUCUUAAUUGGUGACUUGUAUGAAAGAUUGGAUGAAAUAUAAACUGUCUCUAAUUGAUUUAUAAAAUUUAAUUUUUUAGUAAAAAAGCUAAAAUAAUUUUAAAAGACGAGAAGACCCUAUAGAGUUUUAUAAUUUAUUUAAUUAUUAUUAAUAUAUAAAUUUUAAUUUUAAAAUUAAAUAAAUUAUUUUGUUGGGGUGACAGAAAAAUUAAAUUAACUUUUUUAAAUAAUUAACAUUAAUUUAUGAUUAAAUGAUCCAUUAAUAUUGAUUAAAAGAAAAAAUUACCUUAGGGAUAACAGCGUAAUUUUUUUUUUUAGUUCAAAUAGGAAAAAAAGUUUGCGACCUCGAUGUUGGAUUAAGAUAAAAUUUAAAUGCAAAAGUUUAAAAUUUUGAUCUGUUCGAUCAUUAAAAUCUUACA